UACGUAGGGUGCGAGCGUUAAUCGGAAUUACUGGGCGUAAAGCGUGCGUAGGCGGUUCUCCAAGUCCGUUGUGAAGCCCGGGCUCAACCUGGGAAUGGCAGUGGAAACUAGGGGACUGGAAUCUGGCAGAGGGGGGUGGAAUGCCGCGUGUAGCAGUGAAAUGCGUAGAGAUGCGGCGGAACACCGAUGGCGAAGGCAGCCCCCUGGGCUGAGAUUGACGGCUCAGGCACGAAAGCGUGGGGAGCAA
rnacentral:rRNA from 1 species